GGUGAGAGAGCAGGAAGCAAUGGAUUGCAGGAGGCUGGUAAGGUGCUAUCUGUUAUUUCAUCCAAACAGAAAUAAGGAAUGCUCUCUGUAUUCUGCAUUGAAAUUAAUGAGGAGUGGUGUUGAAUAUUUGUGUUGCUGGAAGUAUAUGUGAGAGGAGAUGUAGAAAAUGUGGCAUCGUGGUUACUGGCAAGAUGUGCAGUGCCGAGGAGGAAAAUCUGAUGAGGAAUCCCCAGCAUCGUAAAUGGAUAAUGUGGUGUUGACUGGAGUGAGAAGCAGCAGCAUUUCCCAGCAAAGAGCACGCAUGCUGAGCUUCUGUGGCUGGUAAAACACAGCAGGUGGGUAUGCAUUUAGAUGUAAGUCAUGUCCUCUAGGUAAACCAAUUACCUCGAUUGCGGAAUCACAGAAUUGCAAGGGUUGGAAGGGACCUCUGGAGAUCAUCCAGUCCAACUCCCCGCUACAGCAACUCCCUACGGUAGGUCACAAAGGUAGGCAUCCAGGUGAAUCUUGAAUAUCUCCAGAGAAGGAGACUCCACAACCUUUUUGGUCAGCCUGUUCCAGUGCUCCGUCACCCUCACUGUAAAAAAGUUCUUCUGCAUAUUUGUUUGGAACUUCCUACGUUUCAUUUUUUUGGCCAUUGCUCCUUGUCUUAUCACUGCACGCCACUGAAAGGAAUCUGGACUCAUCCAGUUGCCUCCCGCACGUUAGAUGCUUAUAAACAUUGAUCAGAUCCCUUCUCAGCCUUCUCCAGGCUGAACAAUCCCAGCUCUCAGCCUUUCCUCGUAUAGGAGAUACUCUGGGCCCCUCAUCAUCUUUGUGACCCUCCACUGGAAUCUCUCUAGAAGUUCCCUGUCUUUUUUGAACUGAGAAGUCCAGAAUGGGACACAGUAGUCCAAAUGUGGCCUCACGAGGGCAGAGUAGACCUGCUGGCCACCUUCUUUUUAGUGCACCCCAGGAUAACAUUGGCCUUCUUGGCUACAAGAACAUCCUGGCUUAUAUCUCAGCAGUGGCAGCCACCUACUUUUCUUCUCAUGCUUUGGGAUGCAGAGAUGAUUCUCUGCUAUCUUUGCUUAGCUACAAUUUUUUAGUUAAAGAUGCAUCUUAAAAGCAUGGGUUUGCAGACAUAAGUAAUACCUUCAUAACCCACCAAUGCUGAGUCAAGCAGAGAGAUUUGAUGUAGUAUUGCUGAAAGCAGAUUUAGGGUGGGAUGUCACAUUACGGUCAACGGUAGAUUUGGGAACCUUAUUGCUGGAAGGUGCAGUGCUACUGGAGGCUGCUCCUGUAUAGAUGGUGUAUGUCAGGAUUUAAAAAACUUGUGAAAACUGGAAAUUACCCUGCUUUUCAGAUGGGCAUAUCUCAGGUUUUUCAUCAACAACUUACUCUGUAUGGACUCAGUGACAUGAUUUCAGUGUUUCAUAUGGUUUUCAGAACAGCACCAAUUUUGUGCUCUAAAAUUCCUUAUGAUUUGCGACGGGGAAUACGCUUGGAGCUGGGGUCUGGCUGGGUGGCUUCAUUGUUUUGGGAAGACAGGAAAGUUGCUAACUGUAAACACACGAUCCAGCAUAGGACCUUCUCUUCUGACCUGCUGUGACCUGUCCAUCUAUUGGUCACGGUGUCUGUUUGGCCACUGAUGGCAUCUCAGAAAACUUUUUGGUAGGUAACGUUUCCUUUAAAGACUUCUGAGCUCAUGAGAAUGAGAUAGUGCAUUCCCGUGUGGUUAAGUUAUGCUCUUGCAAGUCCUAGCAAGAAGUGUUAGAAAAACAGCCUUUGGUUGCUAGGAGGUGCCGUGUGGGGUUUAAUUAAUCAGGAUGGCUGUGCUCUCUGUUUGCUAUCACUGCCGAUAUAACAUAGACAUUUCCAAAACCAAAAGUUGUGAUGGACUCCUUUUGGGCCAAGAGCUUUUCUUAUAGAAACACACACUACUAAUGCAGUUGAGACAAACGUUAGUCAUUUCACACUGCACCGAGAGACACCCGAAAACUGGGGCCCACGAGAGGUACUUGGGCUCGAUGGGCUCUGCACAAACUGCUGCUCUCCCACAUUGUUAGAGCAACAGCGACAUGGAAACACCUACGACUCUGCCAGUAUCAAAGGUUUUCCUCUUCUAAUAAAUGGGGAAUAUUUAACUCAAAGUUUUUUGAUCAGAUUUUGAGGCAGCUCGACUAAGCUGUCUUAAGACACAAAUGGGAGUCUUGGCUUGCCUCUUACAAGGGUAGAAAAUGCUGCCACAGAGUGCAGCCUCCUUGCUGUUUCCAGUUGAGUUGCCCAUGUGAUAUGUUUCCAUCAGUACAGUGUAAUUUCAGAUAAAGAGGGUUUGGUAGAUUGGACGGAAGUAAUUCAGAAGGCAAAACAGAAAGACCAGGAGGAGAGUGAUAAACCCUAAUGGUGUUUGGAGCGUGCUCUUCAACUUGAUGAUGAUGAGAGCCCAGGAGUGUAGCAGGCAGUCACAUUUAGACUUGGAAACACAAGGACUAAAGGCACAUCACUUACAAAUGCUCUUGCAGGCCAAAUUUGCUGGACAAGCAAACUUGCCGCUAGUUGGCUCCUAGCAUCUGUUCCCUUGGAAGUACUAUCCAAACAAAAAUAUUUGGUCUUCCCUCAACUGAAGCCAGGUAUUCCCUCAGCAAUGUGGGGAUUGUGUAGAUGGAAGGCAGGCACCAAAUUUCCCGAAGCCCUUCACUUAGAGAUACUAUGCAAAUGCCUUUAAAAUAACUGGCCUUGGGGUUCCUGUAUUCAAUGCACCCUGGGACAGAUCUUCAAGCACCACGAGGACUAACCUUAGUGAGCAAGCCAUGACUCACACUGUGUGCAACUGCAAGCUAUUUCUUUUAUCCUUCCCUUUCUUUUAGCCUUAAAAAGAGACACCUCCUCAGAUUGCAGGGACAAACUUUUGCAAAACAACCAGGUCCUUAUGCUGCUAAUCCAUAAGGACAUCUUUCCCCUUAAAAACCCUGCAGCUUCCUCUUCUUAAGAUCAUCCUAGAACCACCGACUUAUAGAAUUGCAGGUGAUAGGGAACAACCUCUUGCCAAAACUGAGACAUGAUGAUAUUCAUGUACAGUCUAAUACAAAAGCAUCUAGUGGUUACUAAUAGUUAGAAGCCUUGUCUGGGAGGAGUACGCCUGAGCUUCAGCCCCAUGCUCUGCACUGUCUCCCUGGGGAUAGCAGGAGCAGCCUUGGCUACAUACAAACCUGAGUCCCUUCCAGUUAGAGAGAGAAAUAAAUGCUGCUUUCCACUUCCUGCGUGAGUGCUCUGUCCACAAGGCUGCUAUGAAAAACUUGUUGGAAUUCAUCUUCUGGCUAUUUUUGGAUAGAAAUAACUACUGUUUGUUUUGCUUGUUUGCUUGUUUGAAUGUCUUUCGCUACGUGCGUCUUGCUGAAUACUUGACAUAUGUGCUGGGAAUCCCAAAGGGACCAGGCUGUCACGGCAGUGAAGGCAUCCAUCAAUGUGAGCAGUAUGUGAAUCUCAGAAGAGUUAUGAUAACCACGGACACAGCCAUGGCACUCAGGAGCACAGAUAGUGUACACUUUGAAGCAACCGAGAGCACUGCCUGGCAAAAUCCUACACCCUAUAUGCUCUCAGGUGUAGGUUUGGACUAGGUGGGGUUUGGUAGCCUGUUCUAUCAUAGUCCACCAAAUUUCCCCUGUGUUGCACUUGAAGAACUCAUACAUUUGCUUUUGGAACAAGCCUAAUGUAUUUUUUAUCACCUGCAUCCCCUACGUAAGUGCCAGAUAUAGAGCUGAUAUAGGCACUGCCUUUUCUGUAGUUCCAGCAAUAUAUAGGCACUAAAGCAAACCAUUCCUUGCACAAGUUCUGGAUGUCACUGCCUAUUAUUAAAUAUUAAAUUACUAUUACAUUACUAUAUACAAUAUUAUUAUAGUCACUGCCCUCUCCUGUAGGCUGCCUACUUUUCCCCUACAUUUCCUCGCGUGGCCCAAGUCCAGGUUUUGCAGCAUACUUGCUCCAGUGCUACCUUCCUUACCCUGCAGCACUGAGGCAGCCAAGCAUUGGUGGUAUUAUGGGCUGUUGUGCAACCUGCAGUGACAACCAUCUGCUGUUUAGGAAGAACGGGAUUACCAGAACACUGUGAGACAGCAGCGGUGGACUUGCUGUGCAGGCACUGCCUCUGCAGUGGGGCAGGAGGGGAACCACCCUGCACUGGCAGCAAAGAAACUGCUGCAGGAGCAUCACUCUGCCUCGCUGGGGCUGGCACCUCUCCUGCAGCCAGGUGCAAACAUCUGUGCUCUGUGUCUCUGCGGCGAGCGAUUGCGGCCCUGAUCCCGUUGGAUGUACAAGCUGCUGAAAUCAGUGGGGGCAAGGCAUCUCAAUAUUGUUCUUAGUGGAGAACCCACACCAUUUGCUGCAAUCCAAAUGCAUGUCAGGAUCCCUCUAAGUAUUUCAUGGCCUCAGAGACAAAGUAUGAUGUGGCUGCAAAACCCAGCACAAAUAUGCAACCACAAGAAUAGCCCCACUGCAGUAGCAAUGGAGAAAUCCCGCUCCUAGCUUGUCAGUACUCACAGCUAAAAUGCAGAAAGACAAACUGUAGUUAGUGUUCUAGAAAUGAGCUUUGUGUUUUCAACUUCUAUCAAAUAAAACAAAUUAUAUGUCCUCAGAUUUUCCUCAUUGGAAUUAAUCAAGCGCACUUGACUUGCUACAGAUGAAUUUGAUUAGGAUCACGUAUACUCUUAGGAACCAAAAAUAACCCAUCAUGAUUGAGGUGUACAUGUUGUUGCAGCCGGCAGUAUUGUGUGGUAUCUGCUGCAGCAAUGGACAGAGAGCUCCUGGAAUAGGAAUCCAAACCAGAUUUGGCAGGAGAAAUGGUAGAUGACACACAAAAUGAAGCAAAUAAGACCACCCAAGAUGGAGAUCUUAUCAAAUGCAUGGUUAUUUGUAUGGCCAUAUGGUUGAUUGAAAUUCCGUUUUCUGAUAUAAAACAAAUCACUGAAUCAUAGACUCAUUGAGACUGGAAAGACCACUGAUAUUAUCUAGCCUAAACAUCAACCCAUCCCCACCAUGCCCACUAACCAUGUCCCUCUGUGCCACUUCUACACGGUUCUUGAGCACCUCCAGGGUCAGUGACUCCCACAGCUCCCUGGGCAGCCUGUGCCAAUGCAUCACCACUCUUUUUGAGAAGAAAUUUUUCCUAAUUUCCAACCUGGGCUGUAAUGGAAAACUUAACUCUAUAUCCAUUUGUACACAAAUAUUUUUGCAUGCAUGACCUGCACAUGGCCCGCAAUGUGUACAUCGGAUAUUACCCACACUUUUUGUGAUGUCAGCAGAUUCUUCUUUUCAUGGUCUUUUAGCACUGAAGAAAAAACGGACGUCUUCCCAACAAAGCACUCCUGACUGUCAGCUGAGCUUCUCUGUGUGCGCACUAUUGUAGCUCUGCACAAGUCACAUGUUGCACACUCACCACUGCCCAUGUAAGCCCAUGUGCACAAUCAUCAGCUGAGACGCUGGCAGGGGUGCAACACUUCACAUUUGUCAAUGAAAAUAACAACAGAGAAAAGGAGGGAAGAGUGUUUUGUUUUUGUUGUGACAGCUUAUUGAUAUUUUAAAUAAAUUGUUCUGACAUUCUGUCAUCAUUUCUUUCUUUUAAGCUUAGUUUUCCUGUGCAGUAAUCCUUAUUCAUACUUGUCUCAGCAGCUGGGUCCCUGAGGACUGUGUGAGUAGGGGUGCAAGGGUUAUCUAUGGUCGUGCCAAACUCCCAGGUUUCUGACAGAUCUGCAAUCUGCUGAAUUGUUUACAUAAGUACCAGGAAGUGCCUGUGAGAGAAGAAGUGGAGGUAUGCAAGGGGAAUAACAUAAAGAAAUAUCUGCACCUGAGAUCAUUUUUCACUUUUCGGAUAGUCUUGGAGAACAACGCAUACAUUUGGCAUAGCGUCAUGCACACAGCACUGCGGGUCUCAUCCUACAGGUAGUUCUCAUCUGGAUUGCAGUAGUAGGUUAGAGAGAAAAAACAUGUCUCAAGCUUUUAUUGUGUUGCUAACAUUCCUGUUGCAUGCACUAACUGCAGAACCACCUCGACGCUGCAUUGGGUAUGGGCAAACAACCACUGGGCCGUACACAGGAAGAUGUGCAGUACUUGAGACCCAGGUGGCACAGCCAUGGGGCACUGCUGGGCUGAGACAGCUGUCUUCUCCAUGAGCUGUUGUCUUUUUUUUCCCUCCUCUCCUCAAUCCCCAGGCUGGAUCCUGGGGCUUUCUGAGCUGCCAGAUCUGCCUCGGGGCUGCUUGGUGGCACACACGGGGCUGUUAGGGGAGCACAUGAAGAAGGGAAAGUUUGAAAAGCAGAAACAUAUUUCAUGCAAUCUUUUUUUUUUUGUUUUAAUGCACUUCUCAUGCGUGAGAUGUGCCAAAACGUUUCCACUGGAAACUUUAUAAAAAAUGAUUAAUGUAAAGGGGUUCUACAAUUCUGGCUUCUCUCUCCCCUCUCCAGAGAGCUGUCAUAGCUCAUGAAGCUCUGUUCUGUGUACUGGAUGCAUCAACAGCUGGAAAUUAUCACUUUCUGGUCUUUGUCUUUCUGUAGCUCAUUUGAGAGACUCCACCAGUAAUAAGGGAUCCUGCCCUUUUAACUGCAGCAUGGGAUGAAGUUCUUCUGGUGAGACCAGGGAUCACUCCAGCACUGAUUUUAUAACAAGCAGAAAAAAUAAGCAUUCUGUAUGAGAUUCAGGCCAGCUGUGUGCAUUCCUCGCAUUCCUUCAAAGGGCAACCAGAGGGACAGGCAUGUUUUAGCCCUGGGCUCUUUUCCCUAAUGCUCAGCUACUGCGUGAUACCCUUCUUAAGGCUUCCUCCUUGCUUUUUCUCUCUCGUUUGCCUUUCUGAAGGCUUUGGGCAGGAGUUUUCAGUCUGCCUGCUGCCAUUCCCAAGAUGUAUCCUCCAUUUAAUGGCACUGCGGGACACAGGGUGGAGGGCAGCUUUCUCCAAAGAAGGGGAGAAUGGACAUCCACACAUUCAUACGAUCCGAUUGUUGGGUGGUCUUGUAUGAAGCCAGGACUUGGACUCAAUGAUUCUUGUGAAUCCCUUCCAAUUUGGGGUAUUCUACGAGUCUGUGUUCCUGCAAUUUGGGAACGCAGCAUCCCCCAGGCCUCCUGGCAGCGUGUGCUCUGGGGCAUUUAUUUUGGUUACUCUUUGCUCCAGUGUCGUCUGUGCAAGCUGUACAGGAAGCAGGGCUUUCCUGGCAGCUAUUUGCCUUCUCAGAAUGGGGAGAUGGGUGUAUGUGCUCUGCUUGCCUGGCUCACAUGAGCUAUUUCUAUGAAAAGGCUGACAUGCAUCCGUACACAGUAACCAGAGAGACAGAGAGACUGCAGGGAUGGUGUUGGCCCCAAGCUGCCAGCCUUCUCUCUGUGUUGCAGCAGUUCUUGGAAUAAAGUGUGGGAAAGAUUGGAUAUUUGGGAAAAUUUCUUCUCAGAAAGAGCUGUGAGGUGUUGGAACACUCUUCCCUGAGGAGUGGUGGAGUCACCAUCCUUGGAGAUGUUCAAGAGAUGCGUAGAUGUGGCACUGAGGGACAUGGGUUAGUGGGCACGGUGGGAGUGGGCUGACGUUUGGACUGGAUGAUCUUAAGGGUCUUUUCCAGCCUUAACAAUUCUAUGAUUAUGUGAAAGAGAAGAAAACUGUCAGCUGCAGGCAGUGGCAGUCAGGAAGGUGACCUGAACAGCCCAUUUCUCCCUGAGCACUGUGCCAGCAUCCCUCCCGAUGGCUGGGAAGUGGCUGUGAAACUCAUACUGGAGUCCCCAGACCUACACCACCAUGGCCACCAGCCACUGGCCAAGUACUUCUUGCUCCAUCCUCAUCCCUGUUGCUGCCCAGGCUGCCGGUUUUAGGGGCAAAUGAAUCUGCCACAAGAAUCUCCUGUGCAGGGGUGGCAUGUGCUAUUAAUAAAGACUGCCUUCAACUUCUAAACUGAGGCUCUUAAAAGCCACAGUGAAUGCAUUUUUCAUUAACGAAAAAGCCCACAAUCUUUGCUGUUGAAACUGAAAUAGAUCCAUGAACUUUUGUAUCGUGCAGGCUAUUUUAGAACUGUAAAUCUAUUCCACUUUUUCCAUUGUGGUUAUUGUCAUAUUUCAUUAUGUUCUCACGCAGACAACGCUUUCUGGUCUUUUAUUAUAAAGGAUUCUGCAUUUCCAGGCAUAGGUUCUCAUGCUCAACUCAACAGGCUUGGUAAAAAAAAACAACAGUCUUCAACCAAUUUUUUUAUGGUGUAAGGUUUCAUAUGAAGGCAUCAAGGCAGCAAGAAAUUGAUGCUAACUUCUGGAUAUUGAGCUUAGGGUGUUCGAAGCAGUUUUGAAAGGGUAAAAAUGAAAGAACUGAAAGAUGGGCAAGUAUUUUCUGUGACCUUUUUUUAAAGAAUAUCGAGCCUAUCAGACUGUAUUGUGGCACUGGUCAUGAGCAUGGCCUCAGACUGGAUGGUAAAUGUAUAGGCAGCACAAAGCCAUACAAAAAGCUGUGGGGCUAUUUAGAGUUUGGCUGGAAAAUGAGCUCAACCACGCUCCAAAGAAGAUCCCAUUCUUUUCUGCAGCAAUGGUGGAGAAUUGAACUGCAGUUUCCAAUCCUCCAUACUCUUUCCUCUGCUGCCCCUCUGUGCCUAGAAGUCCCCAAAGGACCCCGGAGUUAUUUCCUGCCCUGUUAAAUUCCACGUGAAAGUCUUUUUUGCUCAUUCUGUGAAUGUUUUGAAGUAUUGUGAUGCUGACUCCCUUUGGCCAUUGCCCUUCCUAUUGACCUGCACUCUCUUUGUUUCCUCCCACUUUCCAUGUCUCAGACUUAACGGCGAGGCUGACAGCUGGUGGGGGAAAGGCAGUAUUUUUGAUAUACAUUUGUAUAAUGCUUGGCAGGCUGGAUCCUGGUGACUGUGUAUGUCAAAUCAUAACAGAGUUGCUCCCAGUUCUUUCAAUCCUCAGCUUUGUAAGCGUUUUAGAACUUCUCUUUUAAAUAAUUAAAAGCAAAUCGUUAUUUUAAUUGUAUUUUUUCACAUCAUUUGUGUUUUCCUCUGGCAGUCCCAUCCAAUACUCCUCACAAAAACUUUGUGGUGCACCUAUCAUUUUACUGGUCUAAAGCCCGAGACAUGAGGAUACUGGAGAUCUGCUCCAGUAGUCCAAACAGAUCCCACACAUCUCGACCUCCAAGCACUGGUGCUGCAGAGGGAGCACCUUGCUGGCUGCAGGGCAGGGUGCAGAGCCGGCACGCACCUUCUAGCACCUGGUGUAUGCCCUCAGAGUCAGCUGUAAUUUAACCUCCAGUGCUGUCCCGUGGAGUAUUUACCUAUCUCAUAAGUCUUAAGGGCUGCCCGUGUCUUAGUGUAGGAGAUGACACAAACUUGACGGGCAUCAGGCCGCUCUCAUCAGUAGGCAUCCCUAUGUAGGGACUCCCACUGUUCUCAGGUCUGUCACUGAGCUGGGGCUCUGCUAUUUCAGUCCAGUUUAUCUCUUUCUGUUUCCUAAGUGGUCUCUCAGGAUCUACUUCUGUACUAAGCUGGUCUCUAAUCCUUGUGCCUAGCUAUACAUAGCCACAACUUAUUUAUACAUUGGGCUAUCCCCAGUUAAACUAAAAAAUACUAUAACCUACUUCAGGAAUUGGGUAACACUAAGUAUUAACAGUGCCUAUUUAUGUUGUUAAGAUGCCUCAGCCACGCUAUGUUAAUUGAAAGCUCUGGCUAAGCUUUUUAAUGCUUGUUGUCAUUUACAGCCACGUGGGAUGCAGCACGAUGGCCCCCAGAUUUCUAGCUGAGUGGUGGUGGCUCAGAGCUGGCAUCCCACCUCCCUGCAGAAUCAUAGAAUCAUAGAAUGGCCUGGGUUGAAAAGGACCACAAUGAUCAUUGAGUUUCAACCCCCCUGCUGUGUGCAGGGUCACCAACCACCAGACCAGGCUGCCCAGAGCCACAUCCAGCCUGGCCUUGAAUGGCUGCAGGGAUGGGGCACCCAUAACCUUCUUAGGUAACCUGUUCCAGUGCGUCACCACCCUCUGUGGAGUGAAAAACUUCCUCCUAAUAUCUGCAGGACAGUUUCUGUGCCGCUGUGAGUGUUUCACUGCAGUUUGGAGCUUGGCAGCAAUUUCAGUGUGCUGCAGCUGGCAAGCAGGCAGGAGGAUGCCAUUCCCCUGGGGGUUAAUAACUCUGUUUUCCCCCAAGUGCAGUAAGCAAGAGUUGUGCAUGCAAGCAGGUGGGUUGCGGGAACUCGCCACUCUGCUUGCAGGGAAGCGCACGCUCCCCAAGUGCAUCAUGGAAAGACAAUAACUAACGCAGUGACGCAGGCUGCACAGCGUGCCCCUGCACCAGCUAUAAACAAAAAGGUUACAGCCAGGUGAUUUGUGCGGCCCUAAUGGAAUCAGCAAUUAAUACUAGAGAGAGUGUGUUGGUUUUGACUCUUCAAGGCACUAUAUCUCACCUUCUCACGUCUGAACGUGAGGUUAUUCUGUCUUUGACACAGAAGCCAGAGAGAGAGCUGCCGAAGCUGCGGGCUUUGGCCAGGGCUGUGGUUGCCACUGUUACUGUUUUGUUUUUUUUUUCUUUAAAUUUAUUAUUAUUUAUUUAUUUUUAUGUAUUUUAGAGAUAAAUCUGUGUGCUUGCUACUCCCGUUGCUGCUAGUCAUAGCUGGGACUGUACAACUGAGCUUCACUACUGGUGCAGGGGGAGCAGCAAACAAUGUGCUGCAGCGACUGCUAUGGGAAAACCACAGGGAUAGUCUGGAGGUGAAAUCAGAGCUGUGAGGCCAAUAGCAGAGUGCCACCAAGUACACACAGGAUGUAGAGCAAACCCAUGGUGCUGCUCACUUCCCACACGUUGUGAUUUAAGAAUUUGCUAUUUCAUGACUUCUUACUGAAAUUUUCUAAAAUUCAGGAACAUUUCCCCUUACUGUUUUAAAAGUCUUCCCUGGUGUUCAGUACAAAUGGAAAGUAAAAUAAUCUGAAAUCCAGCUGCAAGCCAGGUGUGUCCUCCAAAGGAAGUUGCAUUUCGUAUCUGGUGUCUCCAGAACCUGUCCACUUCCAGGGUGGGGAAGAGGUAGCCUUGUCUUGUCUCAUCUCCUCUCUCAUCAUGGAUAAAAUGUUCUUAAUGCAAACUGCCCUCAGCUCCAUAUUGUGGCUUUCUCCUUGCUGCAUAGAUUUUGGGCCUACGGUUCAUCAGAACUGAAGGCUUCCUUUUCUGUUGGGUUUGAACAAGGACUGCUCAUAGGUUUGUGUAUUUGCUCCUUGGUUCCCACCUUGGGUGGAGUGACCAGCACCACUCCGGGUAGUGCAUUUUGCACUCAGCCAGUGCUGGGCAGGGGAGAAAACUCAGUUUUUCCAAAAAGCUGGAGAUGGGCUUCCUCUGCAUGCAGGCCAGGUAAAAACCCAUGGCAACCACCGUAAUGCCAGCAACAAAAUGACUGGGAGUGACGCUCUGCAAAUGGUACAGCAUCUACCGGUAAGGGACUGAUUGAAUCUACAAGAUCUCUAGAAGGCUGUUCUGAGGGCAAAGUAUCUCUGUCUCUUGCCCUCUCUAUCUAUCUUUUAAACUUUUCCUCUACUUUUAUUUUGUUCAGCCACAAGGUUAACACACAGAAUAUACCCAGCAUAUCAGUGGUGUUAACUAUGUCUUGAAUCAGAAAAUGAUUAGAAGGUGUGGUUGGAACUCUCCUGCAGUGUGAGGGCAGACAGCAAGGGACCCCAUCCCCACGUGGGCAGGGGGCUGAGGCAGUGGAUAUGGUCUGUACCGUGUGUGAGAUGUGAGAGGCAACCAGAAACCUGUGUUGUACAGGUUUUUAUGGACCUGAAAUGUGCAGUGUAUGAAGCACAAGAUAUUCAUUCCCCACAGAGCUUGUGGACAUCCAGCACUGUUUUCCCUCAAGGUUCUUCGGUUUUUAACCUCAAUUAUGUUUGAUUUUAAUUUAAAGAUGACUUCUGAUACGUGCCAGUGUGUGAGGAGAAGGAAGCAUUUCCUGAGAGCAGAUAUGUGAAGAUAUUCAGGCUCCCUUUAGGUACUAGAAGGCUGCAAUGAGGACACCCCACAGCCUUCUCU